AUGUCCUUGUGUUAUUUGCCAGUAAUUUAUUUAUUAAUCUGGUAAUUGUCAAAAAGGACAGACAUUAAAAUUCUAAAAUCUCGUUAUAAAG